rnacentral:rRNA from 1 species
CGCGUAGGUGGUUUGGUAAGCGAGAUGUGAAAGCCCCGGGCUUAACCUGGGAACGGCAUUUCGAACUGUCAGACUAGAGUGUGGUAGAGGGUAGUGGAAUUUCCUGUGUAGCGGUGAAAUGCGUAGAUAUAGGAAGGAACACCAGUGGCGAAGGCGGCUACCUGGACCAACACUGACACUGAGGUGCGAAAGCGUGGGGAGCAAACA